GACGAACGCUGGCGGCGUGCCUAACACAUGCAAGUCGAACGGAGUGUUGCGCUGAUUUGAUGGUAGCUUGCUACUGGAUUUUCUUGUAACACUUAGUGGCGGACGGGUGAGUAACGCGUGAGCAACCUGCCUUACAGAGGGGGACAACAGUUGGAAACGACUGCUAAUACCGCAUAACGUAGCGAGGGGACAUCCCCAUGCUACCAAAGGAGCAAUCCGCUGUAAGGUGGGCUCGCGUCCGAUUAGAUAGUUGGUGAGGUAACGGCUCACCAAGUCGACGAUCGGUAGCCGGACUGAGAGGUUGAACGGCCACAUUGGGACUGAGACACGGCCCAGACUCCUACGGGAGGCAGCAGUGGGGGAUAUUGCACAAUGGAGGAAACUCUGAUGCAGCAACGCCGCGUGAGGGAAGAAGGUUUUCGGAUUGUAAACCUCUGUUUUUAGUGAAGAAAAAAAUGACGGUAGCUAAAGAGGAAGCCACGGCUAACUACGUGCCAGCAGCCGCGGUAAAAC
rnacentral:rRNA from 1 species